rnacentral:rRNA from 1 species
GAUGAACGCUGGCGGCGUGCCUAACGCAUGCAAGUCGAGCGAGGACCGCCCGGUGGCAACACCGGGUUGGUGCCUAGCGGCGAACGGGUGAGUAACACGUGGGUAACCUGCCCCCGACACCGGGAUAAGCCUGGGAAACUGGGUCUAAUACCGGAUAUGAGCCUCCUCCGCAUGGUGGGGGCUGGAAAGGGUCUCCGGUCGGGGAUGGGCCCGCGUCCUAUCAGCUUGUUGGUGGGGUAACGGCCUACCAAGGCGACGACGGGUAGCCGGCCUGAGAGGGUGUACGGCCACACUGGGACUGAGACACGGCCCAGACUCCUACGGGAGGCAGCAGCGGGGAAUAUUGCGCAAUGGGCGAAAGCCUGACGCAGCGACGCCGCGUGCGGGACGAAGGCCUUCGGGUUGUAAACCGCUUUCAGCAGGGACGAAGCGAAAGUGACGGUACCUGCAGAAGAAGGUCCGGCCAACUACGUGCCAGCCGCCGCCGUAACAC